CCAAGACCAAGAUCCUGCCCGAAACUGGUUCCAGCUUCCCCAGAUUCCCCCGCGAUGGCCCCAGAAUUGUCCAGGGACACCAGGACCAGGUGAGAGGGCCUGGUGCAGGGGCCAGAGCACUCGGGAGCGGGAGCGCCAGGCCCAGAGACCCGGGAGCGUGCAACCACAGCUGCUUGAUUCGAUUCUGGGCUCUGACUCUGGGCCACCGGAUCCGAUUCCAGGCACCUCCGCCAGCUUCCUGUGGGACUUGGCCCAUCUCCCCUGGGUCGUCUGUAUCCACCCUAACUUUAUGGGGAGUUGAACCCCUAACCUCCACUUCACCAUGCACUUUCUCCCAAGACAGGGGGCCCAGCUCAGGAUGUGUUAGGGCCCAACGGGGCAGAGGUGUCUGAUAAAUUGACUGACUUUU